ensembl:snRNA
GUGAGUGUUGAAAGGAGAGACUGGUUAGCACUCCCCUUGACAAGGAUGGAAGAGGCCCUCAGGCCUAACAACUAACAUGCAGUUAAGACAUUUCCACCUAUUUUGUGGCAUCUAAAGCAUCAUUUUU